AUAAAGCACACUGAAGUUAGGUUUGGAAUGCAUCCUUAUCAUGAAUGCUCUACACCUCCACCUCCCAUCUCCCACAACCUAGGUAACAGCUUUGAGACUCACUAAAAGUUGAACCCCCUGAAUGAUGUAGGCUAUGGGGCCACAUAAGACUUUGUCCAUCCAGGGUUACAUUGAACGACAACUUUAAACUAAAAAACCAACAUUUUUCACACAACUCCAGGUUGUUACUACAAGUGUCAUCAAGGGAUAACUACAAGUAGAAGC